AUUUACUGUAUACCUGUUACACUUGGCCACGACUGAACACAGAAACAGUCCAGAACAUCACAGAUCCAGAAGAAAGGAUAAAUAGGAACUGUUUUGAUGUGAGCAAGUUGGGCCAAGAGGAAGAGAACAGAGAAGCAACCCCGGAAGGUGGCUGGGAUAGACAUAGAGAAAAGAACUCUAAAGAAAACAGAGGAAAUGUGAUUGCUGAGUGUUUUCUCACCCAAAACAACAUAUCUAAAACAUCUACAGUGUCUCACAGAGACUUGGAAUUGCUACAGCAACACUACAAGGAGAACAAAUAAUUGAAGGGGUUCAGAAUAAGCUACCAUGGCAUAAACGUUAUUUUGAGCUGAAGGACUUGAGUUCCUGAAAUCCCUUAUGUGCCUAAAAGCAAAGCCUCCCCAAAGAACUCAAUUGUAAUAAAUCCCCUCCUGGGGCGCAACUCUAAUAUUUUCUUCUCUGAGGAGACAUCUGCACCACACCCAGACAUUGCUACAAAACUAUCGUAUCUUCCAUCUAUUCUCCUAAAAGUCCAUUUAUCUUUCCAAAAAGUGUUUUGUUCUCUCUAAAUGCUUCGUCUCUCCCUCACUUCCUUUGAAGAAGUCAUUUACUCUCCUAGAAGGGCCUCUCUGCCCUUCUUUGUCCUCUAUUAAGAUGGUAUAUAAGCUCCAAAUUCUAACCACCUAGGGUCAGUUAUUUGUGAAUUUCUCUUUCUCCCUCUCUCUCUGUGUGUGUACAUAUGUAAUUAAAUGUCUUUUUUCUCUUG